rnacentral:rRNA from 1 species
GAUGAACGCUGGCGGCGUGCCUAAUACAUGCCAGUCGAGCGAACAGACGAGGAGCUUGCUCCUCUGACGUUAGCGGCGGACGGGUGAGUAACACGUGGAUAACCUACCUAUAAGACUGGGAUAACUUCGGGAAACCGGAGCUAAUACCGGAUAAUAUAUUGAACCGCAUGGUUCAAUAGUGAAAGACGGUUUUGCUGUCACUUAUAGAUGGAUCCGCGCCGCAUUAGCUAGUUGGUAAGGUAACGGCUUACCAAGGCAACGAUGCGUAGCCGACCUGAGAGGGUGAUCGGCCACAAUGGAACUGAGACACGGUCGAGGCGACGACGGGAGGAAGCAGUGGGGAAUCUUCCGCAAUGGGCGAAAGACUGACGGAGCAACGCAGCGUGAGUGAUGAAGGUCUUCGGAUCGUAAAACUCUGUUAUUGGGGAAGAACAAAUGUGUAAGUAACUAUGCACGUCUUGACGGUACCUAAUCAGAAAGCCACGGCUAACUACGU